CGGACCACUGGCCUCCCCAAAGGACCGGGCGAAAGAACUACCCGCCCACCCACCCUCCCGGCCUGCGUCACCCGUCCGGGUGACCGGCUUGCAGCGGCGGGACACCGACGGUUACGUUCGCCGCGACAACCGCAAACAGAUGCAGACGAAGACAGCCCCCGGCCGGGACUGGCAUCCCGAUCGAGGGCCUGAGCGAUCAGGAAGCAGGACCUUCCCG
rnacentral:ncRNA from 1 species